UGUGAUCUGGGAUGACCUUUAAAAAGAGACUGUUGGAUGACUCUUGCGGAUAUGGGACUGAGAUCAAAC